AUUGAACGCUGGCGGCAUGCUUUACACAUGCAAGUCGAACGGUAACAGGGAGCUUGCUCCGCUGACGAGUGGCGAACGGGUGAGUAAUGCGUCGGAACGUGCCGAGUAGUGGGGGAUAACGCAUCGAAAGGUGUGCUAAUACCGCAUACGUACUGAGGUAGAAAGUGGGGGACCUUCGGGCCUCACGCUAUUCGAGCGGCCGACGUCUGAUUAGCUAGUUGGUGAGGUAAAGGCUCACCAAGGCGACGAGCAGUAGCGGGUCUGAGAGGAUGAUCCGCCACACUGGGACUGAGACCCGGCCCAGACUCCUACGGGAGGCAGCAGUGGGGAAUUUUGGACAAUGGGCGCAAGCCUGAUCCAGCCAUGCCGCGUGUCUGAAGAAGGCCUUCGGGUUGUAAAGGACUUUUGUCCGGGAGCAAAUGCUGGUGGCUAACAUCCACCGGAGCUGAGAGUACCGGAAGAAUAAGCACCGGCUAACUACGUGCCAGCCGCCGCGGUAACAC
rnacentral:rRNA from 1 species